rnacentral:tRNA from 1 species
GGUGGCUCAGUGGUAGAGUGCUUGCCUUGCAUGCAUGAGGCCCUGGGCUCGAUUCCCUAGCACCA